rnacentral:lncRNA from 1 species
CCCCGCCCAUUCGCCCCAGCCAAGGACUGCUCACUGAGAAUACAAAGAAGGCCCCCCGGAGGGGAGGGAGUCGACUCCAGUUGGCCUAUCCCAAGGAUUCUCCUAUCCUACCAACCCGUGUGAUGGACCCUGGACCACAAGAAGAGGAAGCAGUUAGGGGCAGUGGAGUCACCCUGGGGUUGACUGCACUCAUCAUCCACAGGAUGUGCACACUUACUUCACAGACACUCUUCUGCAGUCUCAAAAUCUCACCCAUCAACUAUGACCCCUCCUACCUGCUGCCCCAACAACAUAUUUAAUCAGCAGCUAACACUAUGUAGCCCCAGGGGGUUGCAGCGCCUGGGUUCUUAGGGGGAUCCCAGGUCCCCAAAAGGAGUUUAGAAUCCAAACUGAAGAGAGCAGACAAGCACAUGAGAAAUGCGAAUAAAACUAACCACAUCUAAGGAAGCCCUCUGUAAAAGGUCACAGUGUCAUCCGCCCAACUCCCAGGGCACGUUCCCGGCCCACCGCCUUCACUUGUUACAAGCAUCUUUCCUCGGAGGAGCCCAAAGCCCCACGCAAGACUCUUCCUUUCUUGCUCCCAGUCUCAGGGGCGAGACUCCCUCCCUGAGUCCCGGAUGCUCUUGCUCCUAGCCCUCCACUCCUAC